GACGAACGCUGGCGGCGUGCUUAACACAUGCAAGUCGAACGGAAAGGCCCUGCUUUUGUGGGGCGCUCGAGUGGCGAACGGGUGUGUAACACGUGAGUAACCUGCCCUUGACUUUGGGAUAACUUCACGAAACUGGGGCUCAUACCGGAUAGGAGCUCCUGCUGCACGGUGGGGGAUGGAGAGUUUCGGCGGUUGGGGCUGGACUCGCGGCUUAUCGGCUUGUUAGUGUGGUAGGUGCUGACCAAGGCUUUGACGGGUAGGCGGCCUGAGAGGGGGACCGGCGACCAGGGGACUGAGAGACGGAGCAGACUGCAACGGGAGGCAGCAGUGGGGAAUAUUACACAGUAGGCGGAAGCCAGAUGCAGCAACGCCGCGUGCGGGAUGACGGCCUUCGGGGGGUAAACCGCUUUCGCAUGUGACGAGGCGUGAUUGACGGUAAUGGGUAAGGAAGCACCGGCUAACUACGUG
rnacentral:rRNA from 1 species